UUUUAUUUGAGUUUGAUGAUGGCUCUGAGUGAACGCUAUGUAAAUGCUUGACACAUGCUAAUCGAACGUCAAUAUUUAAUUUGUAUAAAUUAUGUAUAUUGAAGUGGUGUACAGGUGAGUAAGUGGUAUUAUGGCUACCUAAGAGUAAGGCAAAAUAAAUCCCUUAUAAUAACCAUUUAUUAUUAGUUAUUAACACUAGAUCUAAUCACCCAGUGGUCGAUUAUAUUGAAAAGUUUAGAUAUAAAGGUUAAUAAUAUUAAUACUAAAUGUGUUUAAAAGAAAUAGUAUUUCGCUCUUAGUUGAUUAUUAAUAACCAUCGGAUAAGUAGUAAAUAUGGUAAUGGCAUAUUUAGCUUGUGUCCGUAGUCAAGACUGAGAGGUCUAUUGACCACACUGGGUCUGAAAAAACCCCAGUGCGUGUAGUACAGCAGUGAGGAAUUUUGGUCAAUGGCCUAACGGCUGAACCAGCAACUUGCAGGAAUGAGAGUUAAUAUAAUAAGUUUAUUAACUUGCUUGACUAGGUCUUAUAAAGUUCUGGAUAAAGCUUAUUAUGAAAACUUUAUAUCCAUAGGUCUCGACCAAAUCUUGUGCCAGCAGUCGCGGUAAGACAAGGGAGACGAGUGUUAUUCAUCUUUAACAGGUAUAUAGGGUACCUAGACGGUGUGCAAUGGCUUAAAUAAGUACCUGGUACACUUGAGUUUGAUAUGUGAGAGGAAUAUGUCGGAAUUGUUGGAGGAAAGAUGAAAUUUGUUAAUACCAAUAGGACUGAUAACGGCGAAGGCAAACCUCUAUGUACAUGUACUUGCUAUCUCUCUAUUAGAGAGGAACAGAAAUUUCUCUUAUAAAAAAUCUUAUAUAAAAAAAGAGGAAAACAGCAAUGUGCUAUAACUGACGUUGAGGGACGAAGGCUCAGAGAGUGAAGAGGAUUAGAUACCCCCGUAACCUGGGCAGACAAUGAUGAGUGCCAUAGGUUGGCUUUAAGGCGGAACUAUAAAUGAAAGUGGAAGCACUCCACCUCAAGAGUAAUGUGGCAACGCAGGAACUGAAAUCAUUAGACCGUUUCUGAAACCAGUAGUGAAGUAUGUUAUUUAAUUCGAUGAUCCGCGAAUAACCUUACCACAAUUUGAAUGACCUAAAAUAUUUUUGAAUUUUUAGACCACAUGCGUUGCAUGGCUGUCUUCAGUUAAUGUCGUGAGAUUUGGUUAGGUCCAUUAAAUUAACGUAAACCCUUGUUUUAUUUAUUACAAUAAAGCAGCUCUCCGCUUACAAUUGGAUGUGAUAAUAGGGACUAAGACAAGUCAUCAUGGCCUUAAUAUUGUGGGCUAUAGACGUGCCACAUUUGCCUUCACAAAGGGAUGCAAUAAUGCGAAUUGGAGCUAAUCCCUAAAAUAGGAUAAAGUAUGGAUUGUAGUCUGAAAUUCGACUGCAUGAAAAAGGAAUUACUAGUAAUCGUGAGUAAUCACAUCACGGUGAAUUUUAUCUCAGAUAGGUACUAACCACUCGUCAGGCGCUGAAAGGAGUAUGUGCAAUAAGUUUGGUGGCUGCGGAUUGCUAGUCUAAAUGUACAGGUUUAGAUCUUUUGGCAGAAAUAUCUUCGUAUGCGUGACUCUAAUUGGUGUUAAGUCGAAAACCAAAAAGAAAUUGAGACCUUCUUUUUAUUUUUCUAAAAAUACCAAAUUCCGGGAAUACCCUAAAGCAGUUUAUGCCAAGUCUACGUAUGAAACAAUAAAAGUAGAUGGCCUUUCGUAAUGGAAAGGGUAUGGCAAUAAUUUAACUGAUGAAUCGAAAGAUUGAAUGGGCUACCGCGGAUCUAAAUUGACUCUAUCUUAAGUAUUAUUAUGUAUAGUAGAUAGAUCAUAAAAGAGCAACGAGCAGAUGGUAUUUGUAGGUCCACUGAUUACAGAUAGUGUAAUCGAAAACGGAAGUAAUUUUACUACAUUAGUAUGAAUUUUAUUUCCGAAGUCUAGGUUCUGAAUAGUUCCAAGGUGGAAUAUUAAGGUAUGCUCUAAAUAAAGUAAAAAAACUUUAAUUUACUUCGUCUCAGAUCUAAAUACAAGGUAAAUACUUUGUACAUGGUCGAAGAAGUAUUAGCUGAUACGGUUCGGGUUGGGGAACUAGCCCGGGAUAAAUGAACAUUAACGAUACACCCAAAAAAAAAAAAAAGAGCUCGAUUUAGUCUGGAAGGAGUUAGGUAUAGCUAACCAAUUUAAGGGUGCAAAUCCCUUAGCUCUUACAUGAAAAGAAUAAUAUUUAGAAUAUGAUAUAAUUACAAUUUGGUUAGCGUAAUGCUAUUUAUUUUUUGUGGGCUUUGUUUUUGUCCCUUAUUUUCGGCCGUCUCUAUUUGGACUCUCAGAUGAUAUUGUUUUACUUUCAACUUUACCUGUUGUAGUAAAAGGAGGUAAUGAAUUACACAAUGAAUAUGUGGUGGGAUUAUGUGAUGCGGAGGCCACGUUUACUAUCUCUGUUGCAAAAGAUAAUCGAACAAGAAAAACCUCUCGUUCAUUAGAUAGUUCUAGAACUAUUUACUCUUUUCAUCCUUCUUUUGCUAUUUCUUUGAAUAUUAAAGAUUGACACCUUAUUUGUAGUUUACAGUCAUUUUUUGGAGUAGGUAAUAUAAAAAAAGAUUUAAAGAAUAAUGCUAUUACUUUUUAUGUUAAUUCCGUGGAGGAUUUAUUGAAUGUGGUGAUUCCUUUCUUUAAAGCCCAUCCUUUACUUUCUCGUUUUUUUUUUUUCGACGUAAUUUAGAUGAAAUUACUAUCCCUGCGGGAUGAGCCCCAUCGGGG
rnacentral:rRNA from 1 species